GAUGAAGAAAGCAGCGAAAUGCGAUAAGUAAUGUGAAUUGCAGAAUUCAGUGAAUCAUCGAAUCUUUGAACGCACAUUGCGCCCAUUAGCAUUCUAGUGGGCAUGCCUGUUCGAGCGUCAUUUCAACCCUUAAGCCCUGUUGCUUAGCGUUGGGAGCCUACAGUACUGUAGCUCCCCAAAGUUAGUGGCGGAGUCGGUUUCACACUCUAGACGUAGUAAUUUUUUCUCGUCUGUAGUUGAGCCGGUCCCCUGCCGUAAAACACCCAAUUUAUCAAGGUUGACCUCGGAUCAGGUAGGAAUACCCGCUGAACUUAAGCAUAUCAAUAAGCGGAGGA
rnacentral:misc_RNA from 1 species